rfam:Oryzias latipes DNA, scaffold1034, strain: Hd-rR.
AUUAAAAAAUAUUUAAAAAAAACACGCCUGAUCUCGUCCGAUCUCGGAAGCUAAGCAGGGUCGGGCCUGGUUAGUACUUGGAUGGGAGACCGCCUGGGAAUACCAGGUGCUGUAAGUU